rnacentral:rRNA from 1 species
UGCAAAGGUGUCCUCGGAUCGAAUGGAGAUUAGCUCUUGAAUCAAAGGUAGAAAAGGAGCUUGAUAGCAAAACAGUCUAUCGAGUAAGGGACGAAAGUCGACCUUAAU